rnacentral:rRNA from 1 species
UACGUAGGGGGCAAGCGUUGUCCGGAAUCAUUGGGCGUAAAGAGCUCGUAGGCGGCUCAGUAAGUCGGCUGUGAAAGCCCGAGGCUCAACCUCGGAACUGCAGUCGAUACUGCUGUGGCUAGAGUCCGGUAGAGGAGAGUGGAAUUCCCGGUGUAGCGGUGGAAUGCGCAGAUAUCGGGAGGAACACCAGUAGCGAAGGCGGCUCUCUGGGCCGGUACUGACGCUGAGGAGCGAAAGCGUGGGGAGCGAACAGG